GCAAACUUGGUCAUUUAGAGGAAGUAAAAGUCGUAACAAGGUCUCCGUUGGUGAACCAGCGGAGGGAUCAUUACCGAGUUCAUGCCCGCAAGGGUAGAUCUCCCAACCCUGCUUACUUACUUUGUUGCUUUGGCAGGCCGCGCCGCCGUGCUCGCACGGUGGCCUACCGGCCCUCUUCGGAGGGCGGGUAUGCGCCCGCCAGAGUCAUCAACCAAAUCUGUUAUAACAUAACGUCUGAGUGAAAACUUAAUAUAUCAAAACUUUCAACAAAGGAUCUCUUGGUUCCGGCAUCGAUGAAGAACGCAGC
rnacentral:misc_RNA from 1 species